GGAGGCGUGGCAGAGCGGUCGAAUGCACUAGUCUUGAAAACUAGCGUACGGAAACGUACCAGGGGUUCGAAUCCCUUCGCCUCCG
rnacentral:tRNA from 2 species